rnacentral:sRNA from 1 species
CAAUAAACCUGACAGCAGCGGCAGCCCCGAUUUUUCUAUCGGGCUACAGCGAAUGGCAGGGCUACAG